UACGGAGGGGGCUAGCGUUGUUCGGAAUUACUGGGCGUAAAGGGCGCGUAGGCGGCGCGGUAAGUCGGGUGUGAAAUCUCGGAGCUUAACUCCGAAACUGCAUUCGAUACUGCCGUGCUUGAGGACUGGAGAGGAGACUGGAAUUUACGGUGUAGCGGUGAAAUGCGUAGAUAUCGUAAGGAAGACCAGUGGCGAAGGCGGGUCUCUGGACAGUUCCUGACGCUGAGGCACGAAGGUCAGGGGAGCAAACGGG
rnacentral:rRNA from 1 species